rnacentral:rRNA from 1 species
CGGGGGGCAGCAGUGAGGAAUAUUGGACAAUGGGCGCAAGCCUGAUCCAGCCAUGCCGCGUGCAGGAAGACGCAUCUAUGGUGUGUAAACUGCUUUUGUACGGGAAGAAACACUCCUACGUGUAGGAGCUUGACGGUACCGUAAGAAUAAGGAUCGGCUAACUCCGUGCCAGCAGCCGCGGUAAUACGGAGGAUCCAAGCGUUAUCCGGAAUCAUUGGGUUUAAAGGGUCCGUAGGCGGUUUGAUAAGUCAGUGGUGAAAGCCCAUCGCUCAACGAUGGAACGGCCAUUGAUACUGUCAGACUUGAAUUAUUGUGAAGUAACUAGAAUAUGUAGUGUAGCGGUGAAAUGCUUAGAUAUUACAUGGAAUACCAAUUGCGAAGGCAGGUUACUAACAAUAUAUUGACGCUGAUGGACGAAAGCGUGGGGAGCGAACAGGAUUAGAUACCCCAGU